rnacentral:rRNA from 1 species
AGUCUAACAUGUGCGCGAGUCAUUGGGACAUUGAAACCUAAAGGCGCAAUGAAAGUGAAGGUCGUACCUUGCGGUCGACCAAGGGAGGAUGGGCCGCGUCACGAUGCGGCCUCGCACUCCCGGGGCGUCUCGUUCUCAUUGCGAGAAGAGGCGCACCCAGAGCGUACACGUUGGGACCCGAAAGAUGGUGAACUAUGCCUGGUCAGGACGAAGUCAGGGGAAACCCUGAUGGAGGUCCGUAGCGAUUCUGACGUGCAAAUCGAUCGUCGGAACUGGGUAUAGGGGCGAAAGACUAAUCGAACCAUCUAGUAGCUGGUUCCCUCCGAAGUUUCCCUCAGGAUAGCUGGCACUCGCUCGUUCCUUUUUGUGAACGCGUGCGAGUCUCAUCUGGUAAAGCGAAUGAUUAGAGGCCUUGGGGCCGAAACGACCUCAACCUAUUCUCAAACUUUAAAUGGGUGAGAUCUCUGGCUUGCUUGGAUCAAUGAAGCCACGAGAUUUUGGAUCAGAGUGCCAAGUGGGCCAAUUUUGGUAAGCAGAACUG